UUCCAGACAGGAAAUCUGUUGCUUGUACCUGAAGCCUCAAGCAAAGCAACUGGACUUUGCCCUCUCUGUAAUGUAUAGCCUUGGAAAAUAAUAUUCCAAGUGUGCAGACCAGAGAGGGAAACAGUGACCACUGGAGGGAAGAUGGGAAGUGGCCCUCACCACAGACUCUGGUUCCUUUUCUCCUAUGGAACAAAAGGCCUGAACCGCUGGGGAAGGACAGCAAAGCUCUUGUCUGCAGACAAAGGUUGGCCCAAGACAUUCCCUAUCAAUACCAAGCACAUAUGUAAGCUGAAAUGAAAGCAAGGCCUCAGGUAAGCAUCCCGAAAAUGAACAAGGAUCAAGGGGAAUAAUGCACUGAGGUCCUGGGAACAGUGUCCUCAAGAUUCAGCUGUGCAUGGACUGGUCAGCAUCCAGAGUGACCAGAGCAGACCUUGGGUGUGCUGUGUCUUCACAAUGAGUCCUGGAGGAGCUGUCUGGUUCAGGUAAACUCUCAACAAGCAUAUAGAUGGGUUUCUUUAACUCUGAUAUUGU
rnacentral:lncRNA from 1 species